CUGCGCCGCUUACCAUGCAGUCGAGCGGUAACAGGGGGUGCUUGCACCCCGCUGACGAGCGGCGGACGGGUGAGUAAUGCAUAGGAAUCUGCCCAGUAGUGGGGGAUAGCCCGGGGAAACCCGGAUUAAUACCGCAUACGCCCUUUGGGGGAAAGCAGGGGAUCUUCGGACCUUGCGCUAUUGGAUGAGCCUAUGUCGGAUUAGCUAGUUGGUGGGGUAAAGGCCUACCAAGGCGACGAUCCGUAGCUGGUCUGAGAGGAUGAUCAGCCACAUCGGGACUGAGACACGGCCCGAACUCCUACGGGAGGCAGCAGUGGGGAAUAUUGGACAAUGGGGGCAACCCUGAUCCAGCCAUGCCGCGUGUGUGAAGAAGGCUUUCGGGUUGUAAAGCACUUUCAGUGAGGAGGAAAACCUUCUGGUUAAUACCCAUGAGGCUUGACGUUACUCACAGAAGAAGCACCGGCUAACUCCGUGCCAGCAGCCGCGGUAAUACGGAGGGUGCAAGCGUUAAUCGGAAUUACUGGGCGUAAAGCGCGCGUAGGUGGUUUGAUAAGCGAGAUGUGAAAGCCCCGGGCUUAACCUGGGAACGGCAUUUCGAACUGUCAGGCUA
rnacentral:rRNA from 1 species